rnacentral:lncRNA from 1 species
CUUGACUAUGUAACUGGUAAAGAAUCAAAGGUAUUGUUUUAUUUUCAUUUUUAAGAAAUGAGUAGGUGGUAGAGUAUGCUAACUUGUAAAUAACCAGGAAAAUACGGCCUUUUCUUUGGGUUGAUGCUUUGUUGUCUUCUUGUUGAAGUUCUUAAGCCCAGCUUGCAGAUAGUAUUUUGAUUAUAUUGUAUUUCUUUGUGGGAGAUUUCAUUUUUCAUUUCUUUAUAACAUUCACAAGGCACAGCGAUGUUAAAGCCAUACAUUCUAUCCCACACUAGCAUUCACAUUAGUAGCAGUAUGCAAUUUCCACAAUAAAACUGGCGUAAUGAAUUCCUUUACAGGGCGCACACUUCAGGAUGUUCAGGUUUUUCCCUCUCCCUGGAUGGAGCAGUGAUCUGCUCUGCUGCAGACCUCUGGGCAGCAGGCAGGUGGACACGUCGUUUUGCACAAAACUCAGACUUCACCAGGUUCUGAUGCGGAGGCGCACGUGUGCAGGGCAGUGGGGCUGCACCCGACGGGCUGCGGUGCGGAGCGCGCUGGGUGGUGGCACGGGAGCGCCGCUCAGCAUCCUGCUGGCGGCCUUGCUGAAGAGACACACAGCAGCAUCUUUGUGGGAGGGCAGCAACCCAGGAGACGACAUCACGGUGAGACAUGUCGUUACGUUUGGGUGUAUGUCCAAAGGAGAGGUGGCCAGAAAUAAUUUAAAAAAUAUUUAUGCUCAGUCUGUGCAAUCGUGAUGAUAUAUCUCCAUCUGAGUUUAAGAACGCUGUGUUAGUAUUUCAGCUGGCAGUUUCCAAGUAAAAAAAGAGUACAAAUGGAAAAUGUACAAUCUGAAUCACCGGGCUGAUAACUGUGGGUGCUGAGACAGUACCGGACUGACCUACAUUAUCUAUGUCGGUUAUAGUACUUUCCUCCCUCUGAGGCUGUGUUAGGUUUCAGUCCUUGUUUCCCACCCACACGCCCAAUCACACCCCUGUUUUCUGUAAAGUCACUUUCAGGUGUCUGCCUAGUAGGAUUUCAGCAGUAUUUAUUAUUCUCUUUCCUAGGUUUCUCCAGAUGUUUAGCUACAGGGUAGUAUUACUGAAUAGAUUAGUGCAGCUGGUUAGGAGACGCUGUGCUAAAUAAGUAGAGCAUCUGUGGUUUGUCUAGGGAGGUUGAAUUUCAAUUAAUUAAAUGUGCACCUAACCUGCAAAGAUCUUUUGCAUUUCAGUUAAACUGACUUCAGAGCAGACCUACGAUUUAUUCUUGCCUUUUAAAUUAACUGCUAGAUCCUUAGCUGAUAUAAAUUGUUGAGCUUCUCUUGACAUCAGUAGAGCUCAGUUUACACCAAAUAGGGAUAUGGAUCAUGACAGAGAAAUAGGCUUUGUAUGAUCCCAAGUAGUAUGUGGAUGCUGUAGUAGUUAAACAGAAAUAAAAUGUUUAUUUACUUGAGAAGCUGAGAAGUG